UCCGAGUUGACCCCGGCAGUCUCCCACGAGUCCCCACCAUCACGUGCUGGCAACAUAGGAUAAGGGUUGCGCUCGUUGCGGGACUUAACCCAACAUCUCACGACACGAGCUGACGACAGCCAUGCACCACCUGCACACCGGCCACAAGGGAAACCCCAUCUCUGAGGCGAUCCGGCGCAUGUCAAGCCCAGGUAAGGUGGGGAUGACGUAUUCGGAUUCUAAG
rnacentral:misc_RNA from 1 species